rnacentral:lncRNA from 1 species
UGUUAUGUUACACUUACACCCUGUUGUUCACCUUAUGAAUUAUUCAAUACGACUUAGAUGCAUGCAAACCUCCACAACUACAUAGACGUAAAAAAGCUUCAUAGCAUAAUAACUGCUUUAAAAUUAUCAAAAUUGUCCUAAGAAGUUUGGAUUUUGAAUCAUGAUCCGUAGAAUGUUCUCUCCUUUGAUCUUACGCAGAUUCAUCACAAUUCUUUAAUGCUC